AAGGACUCCCAAGGGUCCCUCAGAAGCACCCUAGAGAGCCCUGAGUUCUCCCUUCCCCCAGCUGAGGCCAGAGGGAGGAGGGAAGGACGGCAGCAGAGCGUGCAAAUUGGAGGCUGAUAUUGAAUUGCAGCAAAAUGAGCAGAGGAUUACCUGCCCCACCUGGACCCACCCUGGGCGAAUACCAAGGCCCGGGUCAACUCUCACGAGGAGUCGGCAGGCCCAGUACCAGGAGGAAUUGUGGCUGGAUGAGCAGGGGUCAUGAGGCAGGUGGCUGGGCCCAUAGGCUUGAAGAUGUCUUCCUCUCCUGAGCCCUCCCUAUCCUCAGGUUGGACAUCCUGUAUUCACAGAGCUCUUCUUGAGUUCUGGGGGCAUAGCUAGGGGAUCAGAACCAGGCUGAGAAGCUAUCCCAGGACCCUGCCUUCAGGGAGAACAGGGAGAAAGAAGAUGAGGCAAACACCCAAGAUUCUGGGGAGUGGAGUGGAAAGCUGCCAUGACUGAAAGGACACAGAAACAGAGCUGCCUGCCAAGAAUAUGACAUUAGUGAAGCAAAUAGUUGUUAUUGAAGAAUGACCACAAGGCUGUAUUUUUCUUGUAAAACAACUGCCAAGUGUUUUAUGGGACCCAAGAAAGGAAGAGUCCCACAAGCAGAUGAAAUUGUUGUUUUACUACUGAGCAAAGGGCAAAAUGAUUGGCAGUCACACAUGAAGCAAGAAAACACCCGAGGUACACUUACAGAAACACGGCAGACAAUCUUGUAAGAAAUGAUGGAUCGCUACACUUCAGAUGGCACUGAGGGCGAAACUGCAAAGAAAUAUCCGGGACUCAACUUGGAAUCGAAAAAGGAUUUUAGGAAAGCCAAACUGAAUGUGAAGAAAUUUUAGAACUCUUUUAGCCAUUUGUUUUGCUUAUAAUAUCCUUUUUUCAUGUGUUCAAAAGAGUGACUUUUGACUAAAUGCUAUUGUGUUCAGUUGGUCUGUCAUAUCUGACUCUUUGUAACCCCAUGGACUGCAGCACGCCAGGCUUCCCUGUCUUUCAUUAUCUCCCGGAGUUUGCUCAAACUCAUGUCCAUUGAGUCGGUGAUGCCAUCCAACCAUCUCAUCCUCCGUCAUCCCCUUCUUCUCAUGCCUUCAAUCUUGCCCAGCAUCCAAGUCUUUUCCAGUGAGUCAGCUCUUCACAUCAGGUGGCCAAAGUACAGGAGCUUCAGCUUCAGCAUCAGACUUUCCAAUAAAUAUUCAGGGUUGAUACCCUUUAGGAUUGACUAGUUUGAGCUCUGUGCUGUCCAAGGGACUCUCAAGAAUCUUCUCCAGCACCACAGUUUGAAGGCAACAAUUCAUGGUGCUCAGCAUUUUUUAUUGUCCAGCUCUCACAUCCAUACAUGACUACUGGAAAAACCAUAGCUUUGACUAGACAGACCGUGGUCAGCAAAGUAAUGUCUCUGCUUUUUAAAAUGCUGUCUAGAAUUGUCAUAGCUUUUCUUCUGAUAUCUACGUAAAUCUGAAAGACUUUUUUCAAUAAGUACAAAACAAAAAUUAGGAAUAAAGCAUUUUGGGGGUUGUUUUCCUUCACUUAUGUUUAAAAAUUAUUUCUAAGAUAACAUAAAACCUACCACCCUAACCGUCUGUAUGUGAACGAUUCAGUGGUAUCAGGUGAAUUCACAGUGUUGUGUGACCAUCUCACCAUCUGUCUCCAAGCGUUUUUGUCACACUCUAGUUAGCAGUGCAUCACACAACUGAUGGCACCUUGUUCCUCAUAAGACAUGGUGUCUUCAAUCCCUAGGUUGGGAAGAUCCCCUGGAGUAGGAAAUAGCAGCCUGCUCCAGUAUUCUUGCUGGAAAAUUCCAUGGAUGGAGGAGCCUGGUGGGCUACAAUCAAUGGGGUCUCAAAGAAUCGGACACAGCUGAACACAUACACAGCAUACAG
ensembl:lncRNA